GACGAACGCUGGCGGCGUGCUUAACACAUGCAAGUCUACGAGAAUAAGAUAGCAAUAUCUUUAGUAAAGUGGCGCACGGGUGAGUAACACGUAAGUAACCUACCUUUAGAUUUGGAAUAACCCCGAGAAAUCGGGGCUAAUACCGAAUGAUGCAGCGGCACCACAUGGUGAUGUUGUUAAAGUCUGUAUGACGUCUAAGAUGGGCUUGCGUCUGAUUAGCUAGUUGGUGAGGUAACGGCCCACCAAGGCUACGAUCAGUAGCUGGUCUGAGAGGAUGAUCAGCCACACUGGAACUGAGACACGGUCCAGACUCCUACGGGAGGCAGCAGUGAGGAAUAUUGGGCAAUGCCCGGAAGGGUGACCCAGCAACGCCGCGUGGAGGAUGAAUGCCGUAAGGUUGUAAACUCCUGUUAGAGGGGAAGAAUAAUUCCGAUCGACUCGGAAAUUGACUGUACCCUCAGAGAAAGCCCCGGCUAACUACGUGCCAGCAGCCGCCGUAAUAC
rnacentral:rRNA from 1 species